rnacentral:rRNA from 1 species
AAGCGGAGGAAAAGAAACCAACAGGGAUUGCCUUAGUAGCGGCGAGUGAAGCGGCAAAAGCUCAAAUUUGAAAUCUGGUACUUUCAGUGCCCGAGUUGUAAUUUGAAGAAGGUAUCUUUGGGUCUGGCGCUUGUCUAUGUUUCUUGGAACAGAACGUCACAGAGGGUGAGAAUCCCGUGCGAUGAGAUGAUCCAGACCUAUGUAAAGUUCCUUCGACGAGUCGAGUUGUUUGGGAAUGCAGCUCUAAGUGGGUGGUAAAUUCCAUCUAAAGCUAAAUAUUGGCGAGAGACCGAUAGCGAACAAGUACAGUGAUGGAAAGAUGAAAAGAACUUUGAAAAGAGAGUGAAAAAGUACGUGAAAUUGUUGAAAGGGAAGGGCUUGAGAUCAGACUUGGUAUUUUGUAUGUUACUUCUUCGGGGGUGGCCUCUACAGUUUAUCGGGCCAGCAUCAGUUUGGACGGUAGGACAAUUGCGGUGGAAUGUGGCACGGCUUCGGUUGUGUGUUAUAGCCACUGUCGAUACUGCCAGUCUAGACUGAGGACUGCGGUUUUAUUACCUAGGAUGUUGGCAUAAUGAUCUUAAGUCGCCCGUCUUG